CCCAGAAGCAAAGCUGGGCCUGGUUCGUGCUUGGAUGGGAGACCCUGUGGGAAUACUGGGUGCGGUAGGGA
rnacentral:rRNA from 1 species